ACUAACAAUAUUUUUGUUAGAGAACACAAAAUUAUUAAAUAAAAAAUUAAGGAAAAUAAAAUGAUUUAUAUUUUUAUUUGAUUUAUAUUUCAAUUUCAUAUAGUUGAAAAAAUAUAAAGUAAGAAUAGCUACAUUUUUUCUAAGAGUAUCAUAUUUUUCAAUAACUAAUUUCAUAUAGUUGAAAAAAUAUAAAGUAAUAAUUUCAUAUUAUUACAAUAACUAAUUUU
rnacentral:lncRNA from 1 species